GUCAUAUCUAAUAAAAAAAACAAAUUCUCUAAUUUUAUUCUUAUGAAACUUGCUGCUAUACGACUCUUAUUUACUCUUCUCCUAAUUAAAUUCAGUUCAUCACAAUCAUAUUUUUUCAAUUUUAUUUUAUAUAAUUUUCUUGCUUUUUUUUUGUUUAGCUAUCUCCGAAUUUCGUUUUGAUUCAAUUUAACGAUUGAAUCUGCUCUUCUCGACUCAUUACAAACAAUUCCUCUACUAACCUAACUCUAGAAGCCUGCAAAACAAACCCAAAAUCAACAACCUUUCCUACAGAUAUCACAAAAUUGCCCAAAUGGAUAAUCUUAUAAAAGGCUGUGUUAAUUUCACCUGGUGAUGAUCAAUUGUGGUGGCGGAAUUAUUCAAGGAGCUACACGGAUUACUGUACGGCAAGUGGUGCUGAACGGCACACUGUCUAUUGCGUCUUGCACCGUUAUGUAAUCGCUGGAGCCAUCUCGGGCCAGCGUCAGCACUCUACUCGCCAUUGAUUAUAUAAAGGUUGUUCCUUCCCUCAGCAAGCUGCUUCUAUUCCAUUGAGCAAAGAUAUGCACCGAUUGGCUUCACCAUUCUUGGAGAAUAGACUUGCUGAGGGAGCUGAAGUGGAAAUGGAAGUAAUUCCAAUGAAUGAUAACAAUCAUGAGCUGUCAAACUCAUUUAAGGUUGCGUCACCUUUGGUUGUGGAUGAAACUCAGCUGGAGAAAGUACUAGGGGUAAUAAUUCUGCCUCAGUUUUUCUAUUUUUCUACAGUAUCUGCUAUAUAUGGUUCUUUAUUCGUCACGUGCACUGUCGAGAUUUUUUUCUUUAUAUUUUAUCUGCAAGAUUCUUCUCUUUCAACAAUUAACAUUCAUUAACAUUUGGUUGGAUUAAACUUGUCUUAUAGCUAUGCCAUCGUGAAUAAGUGCUUUGUGUUAAUGCAUUUGCUUGCAGAAACUGGUGGAUGAUUUUAAUAGAUGUUUAAUUACACAGAUGAAGUGAAAAUUCUUGAUCAAGAUCUACUGUAUUCUUUUACUUUUAUUAUCUGCUCAGUAGUUAAGAAGCGCAGGGGAUUUUAUCAAUGUCUUAAUAAUCCUUAUAAUCUUUAUUUUUCACUUUUUGGAAUCUGGUUAUUUUUGGAAUACAUCAUUGCCAACUACUAAAUGAUCUGGAACUGUCCACUCUUUUUUCUAAAUCUCAGAACUCCUUCCUUCACUCAGUAUAUUUUACAACUUUCAUGUGUUCUUUCUUUUUAAGUAGAGUAAGCAGAUUCAUUAGCUAAAUGCGCUUUUGGACCAUAAAUUUUUUUUAAUCAUUUGAAGUUUUCUUACACUCUGCACAUGACAGUAGAUGCAUAAUAUAGAACGACGUUUAUCUUUCAUGGAAUUUGUUUAUUUUUGCUUUAGUUGUAGGAUUUUUUUACGCACCCCAAAAAUAGCGGUAUAGAGUUCUUUUUUUUUAAAUUGUUUUAUUCUAUAAUAUUGGCGGCAUGGAGAUGGGCAUAUGUAGGCGGUUUUGGACCACGUAAAACUUUCCCUGAAUCUGUUAUCCUAUGCUAUGAGUCGGCCUAAGAAGUUAAGAACUCAUAGUUGCAAUAUGGAUUAUAUCUUCUGCUUCUGUCCUUGAUGUGGUGAAGUUUGAAGUUCAGCUUUACAGAACUCGGGAGGAGAAAUACUUGCUCGAUUUUCAUGCGCUUUCAAGAAUUGUUUAAUGGCAGUAAAUUUCAUCUCAUGAAGUCUCUACUAUUCUAUCCAACAAUUUUGGGUGUGCGUUACUUUUCAAAACUCAUGUGCUCAAUUACAUUUUAUAUGUGCUAAUUUCUUUUGUUGAAAUUGAACCCCGAUGUCUUAGUAUGGAUGAAUUUAGUUAAUUUUUUACCCUUUCA